ensembl:lncRNA
GAAUCCAGGUUCUUGUUUAUUUAGAUUAUUAUGUUGGCCAAACCUCUUACACUGAUUGUUCUGUUCAACCUAAGAUAAAACAAUUAUAAUCUAGGAUAUAAAUUCUCCCCGUCAACUAUAAAAAAGGAUGGAUUUAUGUUUAUUGCAAUACAAAUACACCCUUUUAAAAAUGUAUAACCUUGCCUACACUUUAUGAACAUCUACUUCGGACAUGGCUCCACACAUUCGCCGGCUUCUUUGAAAACAAAUGCACAUGGCUCGCGUAGAAGUGCAUGGGGAAGGGUCGUCUACGAGUUGUUACGACAAUGUUGUGAAAUAUCUACUACGAAGCUUUAGGGGGCGCUGUGUAGAGAAAUGUGCGUGCCAAAACCAAGAAAACAGCGAAGAAAUGCCCGAAGUUGCAUAGUGGGCCUUUAAUAUAGGCCAGGAGGACAGCAGACAAAAUGUUGCUGAAACAACAGGUCAUCCAACCCUACAUUACUGGCCUGGAGACAGAACUGAAAAGGAGGUUCCAGGAGCUGGACAUCCUAGGAGCCUUCCAUGUCCUUAGACCUCAGUCGGCUGCCCUCCCUGACAAUAUGUCCAUUGCACAGCUGCAGACUCUGGCAAAAAAAUUCUGUCCAGACCAAGACAAGGUGCUCCUCCAAGAGUGGUUUUCUUUCAAAAAACAUAUCAUUACAGGGUCAUUACAGGUAUGUGAAAAUCUCUAUCUCUUUCUCUUUCUCUCUUUCUCUUAUGUGCUAUAUCUUUCAUUCAAGAACAAGAGCCAGGAGGAGCUCCUGACUCUGCUGGCGAGUGAGUAUGAUGAGUGGUUAGACCUCUACCCCUG